rnacentral:rRNA from 1 species
GCGAAAACUUUACAAUGCUGGCAACAGCGAUAAGGGAACCUCGAGUGCCAGGUUACAAAUCUGGCUGUCGAGAUGCCUAAAAAGCAUUUCAUAGCAAGGGCCGGGCAAGACCGGUGCCAGCCGCCGCGGUAACACCGGCGGCCCGAGUGUUAACCGUUAUUAUUGGGUCUAACGGGUCUGUAGCCGGCCGGAUAAGUCUCUUGAGAAAUCUGGCAGCUUAACUGUCAGGCUUUCAGGAGAUACUGUCUGGCUCGAGGCCGGGGGAGGUGAGAGGUACUUCAGAGGUAGUGGUGAAAUCUUGUAAUCCUUGAAGGACCACCAGUGGCGAAGGCGGCUCACCAGAACGAACCUGACGGCAAGGGACGAAAGCUAGGGGCACGAACC